GUUCCACUGCACGUGCGCGCACGCAGUCAGCUGCCCCAGCGCCGGCAGGGGCGUCCGCAGCCGCGCCGCCCUGUCCGCUGUCCGCUCCCCGAACACCAGUGCGGCCGUGGUGAGCGCGCCUGCGGGGACACGCGGGCCGGGGCCUCAGUGACCCCAGCUGCGCACAGCCUGCGCAGAGGCCAGUGCACCAGGUGGACCACUGAUUGGCAGAGCUGGGGGUAGGGGGAGCCCCUCUGGGGCCCUCAUACCAACCUGUCACCCAGGAGCUCCUUGAUUCAGCUGUUUUGUUCCAGAUAUUCUUCGAGGCUGCUCUGGCUCUCUCUCUUCCGGGCAGUGACCCCCAGCUUGGUGUGGAGGAGUCUGGACCUGAGACAGAGGGCUGCUUUCCGGUCCCGUGUGAAGGUGGCGGUAGGUGGAGCUCGAGGCUCGUGGCAGAGCGGGCCGGGGUGCUGGGCUCUUCACCUGGUCCUGGCAGGCGGCCGGGCACGGGGGAGGCUCAGCAUCAGCGGCUGUGACUCGAGGUAAAAAUAAUCAGGGAAGGACAGCUGCUUCCUUGUCAGCAACCAAGAGGGAAAUAAAGCUCAUGUCCCCUCCAGCGAAAACCUGCUCUCCAGGUCCCCUGGCUCCUGCCACCAACUGCUCGACGUCUGCGUGCCAAUCCAAUUUGAACGCCUGCGAGUCACCCCAGAGAGGGCUUAUUUUAACUUCAUCAAGCGCAGAGAAAAACAUCCAGACUGGAGUAAAUGGGAUGAAGGAACAGCUGCUCGGGGGCCCAGGCUGGGAAUGGGGUCCAGGACUUCUGCCCCUCCUGUGGUUGGACUUGGGGAUCCCCUCCUCCUAAUCGGGUUCAACAAUCACCCAUGUGGUUAAUGGAGCCAAGGCUCAGUGAACGUCUAGUGGGCGUUCCCUGAAAUCAAGGGGGUAAGUUAACAACUUGGCCCCGCUCCGAAGUUCUUCUCUGAUGUCCUCAGCCUCCUCUCCUGUUCUGUCUUCUCCAGCGCCCUCUCUGGGGCUGUGCCUGGCUUUUCGUGAAGGCCCAGACUUGCGUUCUCUCACACUUCAUGCCUUUGCAUGCCACGCCUUCCACCCGAGCUGCCUUUCCUGUUUCUUCGCCUGGUGGGUGUCUGCAAGUCCGCAAGUCCGAGAGAGUUCCCAGGCAUUCCUCAAGACCCAGCUCAGUGUCACAGGCUGCUUCCCCACCCCUCCGGGCAGAUGGAGUUGUUCUCUGUGGGGUCCUGCAGGAUUUUGUUCGUCCUUCUGUUUUAACAAGGAACUGGGGUGUCUCCCCACCUUCCUUCCUUUCUUCUUCUUCUCUCUGCUUCCCUUGUUUCCAACAACCACACUGAGCCUCUCCUCUCCACCAGGCCAUGUGCUGACUGUUUGGGGCAGAUGCGAAUCCCUGCCCUCACGUGGCGUCCGUGUGGACGGUUGUCAGAGUGAUGAGAGGUGAUUCGUGGGCUGUGGGGACAGGCCAGCAACACGGCUGCCCAGAAACAGCUGCCUCCAGAUGACAAAGUGAAGAAUCGCGUUUGUUUGUGUCUCUUUUUUUCCUCCUUUGUUGUGUUUUUUUUUUUUUAAUCAAGGGGUGAGGACAAGAGACAUUCUGACUUCCACUCCAAUUCCUGGAGACUCACAGUUUUAGUGUAUUCAUUUCUCUAAAUUUUAAAUGGUAAUACAUAUCAAAUAAACCGUAAAUUAAAUAAAAAAUAAAAAUUGAGCUAAUAAGAAAAAUCAUUUUAAAGUUAAGGUUUACUUUUUCCUGGCUCAGUCUCUAAGGCCUACCUCCCCAGGGGGGCGUUUAUUCAGCCUGGUGGUUAGGUUAGGUUAGGGGCAGAGUGUCCUGGGCUCCACCAGGGUGAAGAGCCUGCGUCCUGCUCCCUCCCUGUUCUGGGCCUGAUGAUCUGUGACCGCUGUGGCCAAGCCUGGGGGGAGUCAGUCGUGCAGGGACAGGGCUCUGGGCUGGAGAGAGGGGGUCUGUUUUUGCAUGUUUGGUAAUUUGGAAUAUCUGAAAGAUCAAUUGUUUUUUAGG